GGGCCAGUGGUCUAGACUGGUAGGACGAAUCCCUCACACGGAUUAGGUCGUCGGUUCAAGUCCGACCUGGCCCG
rnacentral:tRNA from 1 species